CUGUGGAGGGAUGACAGCAGAAUUUCACCCAGUACUUUAUACCCCUCCAAAGUACCAAGUACAGCUAGUAGUAGACCCUGGGGGCUGGAAGACCAGGGUUCAAAUCUUGCCUCCAACACUUCCUAGCAUCUGGACUCCAAGCCAGAUGGGAAUGUUCUGAGCCUCGCUGUAGAGAUCCAAAAACGAGCAGCUGUCUCUGAGGGAGGAAAAUGGACAAAAAGCAGCUCGGAAACGGAAAAAUGCUGGACACCCAGCAGCCAGAAAAGGGAAACUGAGGCUCACAGAGCUAGAUUGUCUUACUCAAGAUCACCCAGCUUGGAAGAGUCGCCGUGGGACCUUGUAUGCUCCCCAUCUGUCUUGAAUCAAGUCAAAAAGCAUUGAUUAAGCAUCUACUGUGUGCCAGCCCUGCGCCAAUAAGGAUCUGGGAUAUAAAAAAGAGACUGUCACUGGAAAUAAAUGUCACUCAGGAGGGGCUUGUGGCAGAGAUCAAACCUUUUCUAACGCAUUAAAAUGCCUGAAACUGAGACACCAAAGGUUGAUAUCAGAGAAAACUCCUGCGCCUCCAGCCUGUGCCAGGUCAACCCAAAACCAACUAUUGACCACGCUAUCGAUCUGACUGAGGAAAACCAAGAAGGGAGAAGCAUCCGAUGAGAUAGAAUUUCUCCUUUUGUUAUGAACGUUCCUCUAACUCGGUGGCGGCCCAACGGAAGUCUUCCUCUGAGGCUGAAGCCGUGGCGAUGCUGCGGAGCCGCUAGCCAGGAUGUCUGUGAGGAUGAUGGGAGCUGAAGCACCCGGAGACAGGGGGACCAGAUCAGGCAACCCAGCUAAGUAGCAGAAGUGACAGGAAGACACGGAGACUGACAAAAGAGCUGAGGAUAAAGGCUGGGCUUCUCUGCAGUAUCCUUGGCCAGGCUCUACUCACCCUGGCCAUAAAUCCUGAUUCCGUGCACUUGGGAGAAAGGGGUGGAAAGAGGUGGCAACCAAGUGAGGGGCCCAAACAUCGAAUGGCCGAUGACUCUCAAAGGCUAUUAGUAUGCUGUAAGAAACAAGAUACAGAGAAACGUGGGAAGAUUUGGAAAGAACUGAUGCAGAGACAAAUGAGGAAGAAGGAAAAACUAGAGAAAUGAGAAGACCUGAAUACUGCAGUUCUGAAAGAAGAGGAGACAAAGAAUUUAGAGAAAAAGAGGACAAUAUGGAAGAAGGAAUUCCCGAGAGGGUGAGGAAUAAAGAGAGUAAAAGGAACCCUAGGGAAAACAGGAUAAAGUAGGGCAGAACCAGGAGAAUAAUUUACUUGACCACCACUUAAUAUAAAUGAAAAUGACAUGGAUAGACUUCAGAAGAGAUCAAAGCAAGGCUUAGGACUGACUUCAGGGGACAGAUGACCAAACAUGCCUCCUGUCCUCUCAUCAAGGUGGGGUGUGUCCCAUAGGUAGAGAAUGAGGCAUUUGUUGUCAAAAAUGGCCAACGUAUUAUUAUUAUUAUUAUUAUUAUUAUUAUUAUUUAACUGUAAAGUGCUUAUUCAGUACCUGGCAAAUAACAAGCACUAUAAAAAUGUUAGUUAUUAUUAUUAUUAA